UGGGGCAGUGGACAAUUUC
rnacentral:misc_RNA from 1 species